rnacentral:rRNA from 1 species
CCUACGGGGUGCAGCAGUGGGGAAUAUUGGGCAAUGGGCGCAAGCCUGACCCAGCAACGCCGCGUGAAGGAAGAAGGCUUUCGGGUUGUAAACUUCUUUUCUCAGGGACGAAGCAAGUGACGGUACCUGAGGAAUAAGCCACGGCUAACUACGUGCCAGCAGCCGCGGUAAUACGUAGGUGGCAAGCGUUAUCCGGAUUUACUGGGUGUAAAGGGCGUGUAGGCGGGAAAGCAAGUCAGAUGUGAAAACCCUGGGCUCAACCUGUGGCCUGCAUUUGAAACUGUUUUUCUUGAGUACUGGAGAGGCAGACGGAAUUCCUAGUGUAGCGGUGAAAUGCGUAGAGAUUAGGAGGAACACCAGUGGCGAAGGCGGUCUGCUGGACAGCAACUGACGCUGAGGCGCGAAAGCGUGGGGAGCAAACAGGAUUAGAUACCCGAGUAGUC